CUGGUUGAUCCUGCCAGACCCGACUGCUAUCGGAUUGGGACUAAGCCAUGCGAGUCAACUCCGCAAGGGGUGGCGCACGGCUCAGUAACACGUAGUCAACCUACCCUGGGGACGGGGAUAACCUCGGGAAACUGAGGCUAAACCCCGAUGGGCCAUGGCUCCUGGAAUGGGCUAUGGCUGAAAUCUACAUGGCCCCAGGAUGGGACUGCGGCCGAUCAGGUUGUUGGUGGGGUAAUGGCCCACCAAGCCUAUAACCGGUGCGGGCUCUGAGAGGAGGAGCCCGGAGAUAGGCACUGAGACAAGGGCCCAGGUCCUAUGGGGCGCAGCAGGCGCGAAACCUCCGCAAUGGGCGAAAGCCCGACGGGGUCAGUCCGAGUGGUUCCCGCUGAGGGAACCUUUUGCCAGCUGUGAACAGGCUGGCGAAUAAGGGGUGGGCAAGUUUGGUGUCAGCCGCCGCGGUAAUACCAGCACCCCGAGUGGUCGGGACGAUUAUUGGGCCUAAAGCAUCCGUAGCCGGCCCAGUAAGUCCUCCGUUAAAUCCAACGGCUCAACCGUUGGGCUGCGGGGGAUACUGCUGGGCUAGGGGACGGGAGAGGCGAGGGGUAUUCCCGGGGUAGGGGUAAAAUCCACUGAUCCCGGGAGGACCACCAGUGGCGAAGGCGCCUCGCUAGAACGUGCCCGACGGUGAGGGAUGAAAGCUGGGGGAGCGAACCGGAUUAGAUACCCGGGUAGUCCCAGCCGUAAACGAUGUAGGCUCGGUGUUGGGCUGCCUCAGUGGCAGCCCAGUGCCGCAGGGAAGCCGUUAAGCCUACCGCCUGGGGAGUACGGCCGCAAGGCUGAAACUUAAAGGAAUUGGCGGGGGAGCACCAC
rnacentral:rRNA from 1 species